rnacentral:lncRNA from 1 species
AACGAUUUAUCACUAACAUUAAUAAACAUGAACAGAAAGCAGCAUGGAUAUGUAUUUGAAUUUUAAAUUAUUGCACAACUUAUGACCAGCAGUGAGCAAACCACCUAUGACAAGCAAAGGAAAAAAAAAGAGCACAGGAGCCAAAUUUUUCAUCAAAACUUGCGAAGACAUACAAGAUAGAAGAAUAGAUCUGCAAACUUUUACAGUUUGAUUCCUCACGGGCAAUGACUAAUCAUGGUUUUAGGGUUUGAAUCAGUUUUAGGUUCCUGUCUAGAAUUCUUCCAAAUCUGUGAAGUAGGUUGCAAAUCUACCAAGGAUCUUUUAUUGGAAUAGGUUCUGGAGAUGUUUGUGAACAUCCUAUCCAAAUUUCAUCAAUUUGGUUAAGGUUUGCUCAUCUAGUUGGAUAUUCCGCCUUCCUCUGAAAAAAGAUAUUAAUUUAUUUUUUAGUUGGCAGACUUACUCAGGAACUAGUCAAACCACAGGUAAUCUGGUCAGACUGAAAGCUCCACAGGAAAAAAAAAAACUCAAUUUUAUUUUUGGGGUGAAUUUCUUCAUUAGAAAUACUGAUGCAAAAGGACACAUUGCAGUGAGCUACAUACGGACUCUGAAAGAAAACCUCCAUAAUCAACUUGCAAGUUGUGAUCUUCAGAAUCCUGAAGCUAUAUCAUAUGGAAUUGCAUGGGAGGCACCCAUGCAACAGGCAGUCGGCGUGCAAGCAUAUUUGAACUAAACAAAAGAAUUAAGUUUGAGCUAUAGUUUAGUUUAUAAUUAUUUACAGUAGAAACAGGACUAUAAGGAUUUCUUCCACACAGAAGCACAAUACUCUAUACUGUAUAGCCAUGUUGGUAGGAUCACUUCUGAACUACACUCAAUAGUCUAGCUGAAACUGAAACUGAAAAUGAGCUGAAAAGCUUACUUAUGUUAGCACAAUAGCUAUAUUUAUAGUACAUGGAUAGGUCGGUUGCUGAACCGACAAUACUGCUGCUGCUAUGUUCCUGCUAGAGGUAAAAUCAAAAUUGACUACUACCACUAAUAGCAGCUGUCUGACAACCGAGUAACAGCUGCAGCCUAUAGCUUACUGUCUAAGGAAACCAAAUAACUAACUAGAACAAGGAUUAUACUAACAAUCUCCCCUUAAUCCUUGUUCUUCUAUUCUGAACUAAUCUUGACCACUCCAAUCCUUGCAACAAGCUCAUGGAAUCGAACUCGCCCCAAUGCCUUCGUUAGAAUGUCAGCGAGCUGGUCCAUGGUGGUGAUGAAGCUGGCGCUGAUGCUUCCUUCCUCCAAGCAGCUUCUGAUGAAGUGAUAGCGCAAAUCAAUAUGCUUGCUGCGCUCAUGGAAGACAGGGUUCUUUGCCAGCGCCAAGGCAGACUUGCUGUCCACCUUUAGCUCGAUCGCUUUAGGUUGCUUCCCAAGAAGUUCGCCGAGCAAUCGAGCCAACCAGAUUCCUUGUGUGGCAGCAUUGGUGGCUGCAACAUAUUCUGCUUCACAGGAAGAUAAAGCCACCACUCUCUGCUUGAUGGAUUGCCAACUCACCAAGCUUGAACCAAGGAAAAACAACAUGCCACUUGUGCUUCUCCUUGUAUCAAUGUCGCCGGCGAGGUCGCUGUCGCUGUAACCAAUCAGCCGCUGCUCCUCUUUCUCCCUUUUGUAAUGAAGUCCGUACUCCAUCGUGCCAGCGACAUAGCGUAGAAUGCGCUUCACGGCCACCAUGUGCUCCUCAGUUGGCCGCUCCAUGAAGCGACUCACGAACCCAACAGCAAAUGCUAGGUCUGGCCGUGUGUGCACAAGAUAGCGAAGGCUACCAACCAGCCGUCGAUAUUUUGUUGCAUCAACGGGAGGUGCCGUGCUAUCACGGCUCAGCUUGAGCCUUUCUUCCAUUGGAGUGGCGCAAGGGUUGCAGUCCUUGAGGCCAGCCGACUCCACAAUGCGCUGAGCAUAGCGCCCCUGGUUCAGGGAGAUUCCAUCAUCUCCUUGCUUCACCUCAAUUCCAAGGUAGAAAGAGAGCAAGCCAAGAUCACUCAUCUGAAACUUUGCCUUCAUUUCUUCCUUGAAUUGUUCAAUUGCUCUUGUCGAUGGCCCGGUGAUCACAAGGUCAUCUACAUAGACCCCGACGAGUAGAGCAGAGCCACCAUUGUUUCGUCGGUACAUGGCGUGCUCAUGCUUGCUUUGGUCGAAACCGAGCUCCUUCAGAGUACAAUCAAGCUUCGCAUUCCAGGCUCUUGGCGCCUGCCGCAGGCCAUAAAGAGCCUUGCGCAGGCGGAGGACCUUGUCUUCUUCUCCGGCGACGACAAAACCAGGGGGCUGCUUCACAUACACCUCCUCUGCCAAAUCUCCAUUGAGAAAGGCAGACUUCACGUCCAUGUGAUGGACGUGCCACCCUUUUUGGGCGGCGACCGCAAGCAGGAGACGAAUUGACUCCAUGCGCGCGACGGGCGCAAACACCUCGUCAAAAUCAAUCCCAGGUUGCUGGACAAAUCCCCUGGCGACGAGACGAGCUUUGUGCUUGACCACCUUUCCGGCCUCGUUCUUCUUCAAUUUAUAGACCCAUUUGAGUCCAAUUGGGCGAUGGCCAUGUGGGAGAUCAACAAGCUCCCAAAUCCCAUUGCGAUUCACCGCGUCCAUCUCUUCACGCAUGGCUGCUCGCCAUGCAUCAUCACCCUCCGCCUCUGCAAACGAGCAUGGCUCACCAGGUCCAGCGAGGAGCAAAGACGCCUCCUCGAGUUCCCGUUGUGCAAUCCCUGGUGCCGGGGCAUUCUCCCCGAUCAAGUUGUCGACUGUGCGGUAGCGGACAGGGGUGUUGGAGUGCGCCGCGUCGAUCCUCUCCUCGUCGUGUGAGGGAGGUGACACGAACUCUGUUGGGGCAACGCUAGGACUUGGUGCUGGUGUGGCAGGGGUUGCUGGUGAAGUCUCUUGUAGUGGCGUUGGGGAUGCUGAUGGGGUCACCACGCCUCCCCCCACACUAGGGAUAGGAUGCCCAGUGGUCUUCUCAACAUGGUACUCGAUGGCGAAAUCGCUGCUCGGUCGAGCAUCUGUGCUGCUUGCUGCCGUCCAGUCCCACCCGCGGCUCUCGUCAAAGAUGACAUCACGGGCGAGACGUACACGCCGUGUCCUUGGAUCCAGGACACGAUAUGCCUUCACCCCUUCUUCAUAGCCAAUGAAGACGCCGGGUGUGCUGCGGUCGUCGAGCUUGCGCACAUCGUUUAGCUCCUUCACGUACGCCAGGCACCCGAAGGUACGUAGGAAGCUGACCAUCGGCUUCUUGCCGUGCCAAGCUUCAUACGGCGUCUUGCCAGUGAGGCUUUUGGUUGGUGCAUGAUUGAGGAGGAAGACAGCCGUGCUGACAGCCUCCCCCCAAAACUCCGCAGGCAUUCCCUUCUGUUUGAGAAGGGCGCGCGCCAUGGACACCACUGUCUGAUUCCGCCGCUCGACCACGCCAUUUUGUUGUGGGGCGUAGGGCGCGAAGAAAUGACGUUGGAUACCCUCAUCAGUGCAGUAGGUGGCGAACUCAAGCGACGUGAACUCGCCGCCGUUGUCCGUGCGAAAUACACACAGCUUGCGCCCACAGUGAGUCUUGGCUGCCAUCUGAAUUCUCUUGAUGGCGUCAGGUGCAUUGCUCUUGGCUGCUAGGAGCGCCACCCACAUGUAUCGUGUGGCAUCGUCGACCAGCAGCAAGAAGUAACGCCGGCCACCUGGCGUUGCCGGCGUGAUAGGGCCACAGAUGUCGCCAUGGACGAGAUCUAGCGGCUCCUGAGCGCGGUACUUGGCUGCCUUUGGAAAGGCAGCGCGCCGAUGCUUGGUGAUGACACACGUGUCGCAAAGCUGCUCGACAUGCUCCAGUCGAGGCAGGCCACGCACGAGCUCUUGUCGGCCCAUCUUCUCUAGCGAGCCGAAGUGGAUGUGCCCGAAGCGCUCGUGCCAGCGCCAGGCAACAUCAUCGUGUCGCGUAGCCAAGCAAAUCGGCCUAGCAACCUCGAGACGGAGGACGUAUAGACGGCUUCGUCCCCGCUUGAUCUUGGCAAGAAGACGGCGGCGGCGGUCCCAGAUACGCAUGAUGCCGUCCUCGACCAGCACACGCGUCCCGCUUUCAUCAAGCUGACCGAUGCUGAUGAUUGAGCUCUUGAGGCGCGGAAUGUAGUAGACGCCACUGAGAACCUUGUGCUCGCCAUUCUUGCCGGUGAAGAUGACGUUACCGGCACCCUUGAUGUCUACGAUGGAGCUGUCUCCAAAUUUGACGGUGCCGGUGACGCUUCGAUCGAGCUCAGCAAAGACGUCACCACGGCCUGUCAUGUGGUUGGUGGCUCCUGUGUCAAGGUACCACGCCUCCUUGUCCUCAGCGUCCGUGGCUCCUAGGCUCACCUGCACUCGCGGUUCAACGAGGGAGACAGGAGAUGGCGCGAUGAUGGGGCCAUCAUUGAGCUCGCAAGCGUGGGCCAUCAACAAAGUGGCAUCGUCAUCUUCAAGCUCGCAUGCCCGCGAAAGCAGCAGGACGUCGUCAUCGUCAUCACCUUGGGCUAGGUGAGCGGCUUCUUUCUUGGGCUGGCGACAGUCCUUGGCCCAAUGGCCAAGACGGCCACAAUUGUGGCAUCUGUUUGGUGCCGUGUCCCGAUUGGUGUUCCCUUUCUCGCCUCCUACGCCGCCACCAAAACCUCUUUUCUUGCGAUGGGAGCGAGGUCGCUGACGAGCUCCACCUUGCGACUGCUUGGAGGAUCGCUCCCCUUUUUGUCGCUCCUUCUGCCGUGCGAGCCACUGCUCCUCCGUGAGGAGAAGCUGGCCUCCGGCUGGAGUAGUCGUCGACGUUGGAGCUGGUCACCGUUCCUCCGCCACCUUGAGACGCCCAGUGACAUCCUCGAUGGUGAGUGUCGAGAGAUCCAACAGGGUCUCAAUCGACACAGCGAUUUGGGAAAAUCGCUCUGGGACGACGCGCAAGAACUUCUCGAUGACGUUCUGCUCCUCGAUUCGUUCUCCUAAUGUCCCAAGCUGAGACACUAGGCUUGUGAGCCGUAGGGCGAAGUCGUCGAUCGAUUCACCAUCAUGGAACGAGAUGGAUUCAUACUCCCGGUGCAGCUGUUGCGCCUUCGCCUUCCUCACGCGGUCCACGCCGACGCGCAUCACUUUGAUGGCAUCCCAGGCGUCCUUCGCGGAGUCCUUGGUGGCGAGCAGCGAGAUCAUCUCGCUGGGGACAGCGCGUAGGAUGGCCUCCAUUGCCAUCCUGUCUUCUUGCUCAUCGCAUUCACCAUGCUCCACCGCGUCCCAAAGGCCACGGGCUUGCAGCAUCACCUUCAUCAGCAGCGACCACUCGGUGUAGUUGGUUCGCGUGAGGGUGGGGAAAGCAGCAGCGCCGCCAACCUCCCUGACAGUCCGCUGCACAACAACCUCUCGAACAGCAGCGCCUCGACCUCGUCCUCGCCGUGGUGUUGGCGAUAACGAGUGACGGCGGCCGCGGUGUUGUGGCGACCUGGAAGCAUUGGCUCCAGCAGCUGGUACUCCCUCCAUCUCUCUCUCACACUUCUUUAACCUGAGCUCUGAUACCAAUUGUUGGUAGGAUCACUUCUGAACUACACUCAAUAGUCUAGCUGAAACUGAAACUGAAAAUGAGCUGAAAAGCUUACUUAUGUUAGCACAAUAGCUAUAUUUAUAGUACAUGGAUAGGUCGGUUGCUGAACCGACAAUACUGCUGCUGCUAUGUUCCUGCUAGAGGUAAAAUCAAAAUUGACUACUACCACUAAUAGCAGCUGUCUGACAACCGAGUAACAGCUGCAGCCUAUAGCUUACUGUCUAAGGAAACCAAAUAACUAACUAGAACAAGGAUUAUACUAACAAGCCAUACUUAAUCUCUCCUGGAGACACAUUUGGCUAUAAGGUCAGCGUCUUACUGUCUUAGCAAUCAAAUUGCUUAGCCAGCUCAUACUUCAAUGAGUUAUAUGUAUAUCUGAUUAGGCGAAAGAAAUGCAGAAAUUAAUGAAAGACAGGAUUUGCUCGAGGCCUUGACUCAGUUAAUUCCUCAAUCCUCAUUACAAAAAAUAUCAUUGAUUUCAUGAGUAAACAUUACAGCACAUAAUGCUGAUAUCUAUCAAGAAAAAUGAAGUUCUUGUGGGCCAUUAGAGGGAACUGGGACAUUUGGGUCCGGCUAGCUGUGAUAUGUGACUGUUAGCAAGGUGGGAUGGGUGAGUGAACAAAGAAACCAAAAAAAAAAAAAAAAACUCACUGAAACCAGUGAGGAUUCAGGAAAUAAUGCUACUAAUCAGAUCCCGUGGCGUGGCAACCGCCAUCAUAGACUAAGACCCUGUUUAGAUGGGACUAAAACUUUUUAGUCUCUAUCACAUCGGAUAUUUGGACACUAAUUAUAAAUAUUAAACGUAGACUAUUAAUAAAACCCAUUAUAUAACCCUGGACUAAUUCGCGAGACGAAUCUAUUAAGCCUAAUUAAUUCAUGAUUAGCCUAUGUGAUGCUACAGUAAACAUACGCUAUGUAUGGAUUAAUUAGGCUUAAAAAAUUUAUCACACGAAUUAGCUCUCAUUUAUGUAAUU